rnacentral:rRNA from 1 species
UACGGAGGGUGCAAGCGUUGUCCGGAAUCACUGGGCGUAAAGGGCGCGUAGGCGGCUCAUGAAGGCUGUGGUGAAAGUCCGGGGCUCAACCUCGGAUCGGCCGUGGCGACUCGUGGGCUGGAGCACUGUAGAGGCGGGUGGAAUUCCGGGUGUAGCGGUGGAAUGCGUAGAGAUCCGGAAGAACACCAGUGGCGAAGGCGGCCCGCUGGGCUGUUGCUGACGCUGAGGCGCGACAGCGUGGGGAGCAAACGAGGACAUU